GGAUUAGAUACCCUGGUAGUCCACGCCGUAAACGAUGUCUACUAGCCGUUGGGAGACUUGAUUUCUUAGUGGCGCAGCUAACGCAAUAAGUAGACCGCCUGGGGAGUACGGCCGCAAGGUUAAAACUCAAAUGAAUUGACGGGGGCCCGCACAAGCGGUGGAGCAUGUGGUUUAAUUCGAUGCAACGCGAAGAACCUUACCAGGUCUUGACAUCCUCGGAACUUGGCAGAGAUGCCUUGGUGCCUUCGGGAACCGAGAGACAGGUGCUGCAUGGCUGUCGUCAGCUCGUGCCG
rnacentral:rRNA from 1 species